AUGAAAGCUGGUUUCUCCGUUGAUGAAGAAGGAGAAAAAGAUGUAACCAAGAAGGAAAGUAAAGGCAAGGAACACAUGGAGGAUGUUGAAGAUGAGAGAAAAAGCUUGUUGGAUAUUUGGAGGAUGAUA